rnacentral:tRNA from 1 species
GGGGCUAUGGCGCAGCUGGUAGCGCGUCUCGUUCGCAAUGAGAAGGUCGGGGGUUCGAGUCCCCCUAGCUCCA